AACGAACGCUGGCGGCAUGCCUAACACAUGCAAGUCGAACGAGACCUUCGGGCCUAGUGGCGCACGGGUGCGUAACGCGUGGGAACCUGCCCUUAGGUUCGGAAUAACUCUCCGUAAGGGGCGCUAAUACCGGAUAAUGUCUUCAGACCAAAGAUUUUUCGCUUUUGAUGGGGCCGGCGUUGCCUUAGCUAGUUGGUAGGGUAGAAGCCUACCAAGGCUUCGAUCCAUAGCUGGUUUGAGACGAUGAUCGGCCACGCUGGGACUGGGACACGGCCCAGACUCCGACGGGAGGCGGCAGUGGGGAAUGUUGGACGAUGAGCGAGAACCUGAUACAGCAGUGCCGCGUGAGUCAUGAAGUCCUGAGGGUAAUGAAGCGGUUUUACCCGGGGUGGUAGUGACGGUACCGGGAGAAUAAGCUCCGGCUAACUACGUG
rnacentral:rRNA from 1 species